GCGUGGCGGUGUCAACUGGGCGGGGCCACCGCCACGGCUUCCUUCCGCUACUGCUCAGCCGCAGCACUCCGCGCAUGCGGCUACCCCCCGCGUGACCAACCACCUCCUCCAGCUCCCGCCUCCCGCCGCCGCCGCCGCGACCAGACCCUCCUCCUGAACACCUUAUCCCAAGUUAAACCACGUUUUAAAGGCCGGAAAGUGCGCGAGGGGGAGCAGACGCGUGUAAACCCGGGUUAUUAAAGUCAGAGCGCGGUGUGGCUG
rnacentral:rRNA from 1 species